UCAACGUCUGAAAAACCUCUUCAAGUGGAACGUUCUCCAAAUCAACAGCUUCCUAUUUAUCCAUUUUUUACAAUACCCAUUUCUGUAUAUAUUCGAUCUUGAUCGAUUCGAUUUGCCCCUGUUCCUCUCUAUAAACAUGGGUUUUCUACGAUCUUUCUCUCUCUUUUGCCUAAUUUCUGUAGCUUUCGCUCAUGAAGCUUUCGAUUCUCAUCUCCUUCCGAG
rnacentral:misc_RNA from 1 species